AAUGGACGCUGGCGGCAGGCCUAACACAUGCAAGUCGAACGGGUCCUUCGGGACUAGUGGCGGACGGGUGAGUAACGCGUGGGAACGUGCCCUUUGCUACGGAAUAGCCCCGGGAAACUGGGAGUAAUACCGUAUAAGCCCUACGGGGGAAAGAUUUAUCGGCAAAGGAUCGGCCCGCGUUGGAUUAGGUAGUUGGUGGGGUAAUGGCCUACCAAGCCGACGAUCCAUAGCUGGUUUGAGAGGAUGAUCAGCCACACUGGGACUGAGACACGGCCCAGACUCCUACGGGAGGCAGCAGUGGGGAGUCUUAGACAAUGGGGGAAACCCUGAUCUAGCCAUGCCGCGUGAUCGAUGAAGGCCUUAGGGUUGUAAAGAUCUUUCAGGUGGGAAGAUAAUGACUGUACCACCAGAAAAAGCCCCGGCUAACUCCGUGCCAGCCGCCGCUGUAA
rnacentral:rRNA from 1 species